AAAGUACUCCCUCCGUCCCAAAAUUCUUGUCUUAGAUUUGUCUAGAUACGGAUGUAUCAAGUCACAUUUUAGUAUUAGAUACAUCCGUAUCUAGACAAAUCCUUGAUACAUCCAUAUCUAGACAAAUCUAAGACAAGAAAUUUGGGACAAAGGGAGUAGUUG
rfam:Triticum aestivum genome assembly, contig: Triticum_aestivum_CS42_TGACv1_scaffold_577923_7BL